CGAAUCGUUUCUCGAUAUCUUUUCUGACGUAAACGUCAUCUACCAUUUACUCGAAGAAACGAAAAUUCUACAUAGGGAUAGACGUAGAGGUUAAAAAAUUUCCACUAUACGUUAUCGUUGCAACGCAUACGGUACGGAGAUAUCGCGUUUUGGUCGUAUUGUGAUCGAUAAGGAAUUCUUAUCAGGGGGAGGCGGCUUAAUAAAUUAUAUUGGAAUGAAAGGGACUUAGGAUUCGUGAACCACACUAUCAAUCUUAUCAGCUCUUUCUCUCUCUCUGAGAUCGCGAAAUUCGUUAAUUAAAUCUUUCUUCUCGUUAUCGUUAUAAUUCAAUAAGAGAUACUUGAAAUGUGAUCCUUGGAGAUAAAAAUGUUUUAUAACAAAAAUUGUUACAUGAAAUAAUUUUUUUAAUUUCCACAUUUCUACAUUUCAUAAGAAUUUCUCUCGCGUGAUGAACAAAGAAACUGGCCCGAUGAUUUUCGAUUCUUCGACAGUGUUGCCGUACCGUUGUCGUGGAAAGACUUUUACCGGAUCAAGACGAGCGAAAGAACGACUGGACACGGGCGUUGCGUACCUAAGGAGGUAACUGCCAAAAACCAGCUCGAAUACACGCGUAAAUGGUCAUAGAGCAGAAGGAGAAGCCAGGAGCGAAAGGUUUUGCGAGGAAACACUGGAGUGGCGGAGCGGGGAGAAGAAAGGAGGGGCGGGAUGUAAGUGGAUGGUGGUUUUAUGAGUCUCCCCGUCUGCAUUCCAUGCUGCAGCCAACAACCUCGCAAGUAUACAUUUGCGGCAUGGGGGCAGAGGGACGGCGAAGGGGGAAGAAGAUAGAAAAUGCAGCAUGGCGUACAAGGAACCGAGGGGCCAAAAACAAAGGUUUCCAAGUGUGGAAAGGCGGAGGUUCUAAAUCGGGCGUCGUUCGAAAAAGGCGAGACGAAAGGAGGCGGGAUUGAAAGAGAAAGAGGAGGGAAGGAUCUUUGAGAGAAUGUCGGUGCAGUGGAAGCAUCCCGUCGAAGGAAACAAGAAGCAAAUAAAUAAAUAGGGCUACGCGUCCACAUGGCAACGAACAAAGAGGUUAGGCUCCGCCAAACCAGGGAGAGGCGGGCGAGGAGUGGGAGACGAGGAAAAAGAAGGAGCUUCUUGGAAAGGUUCCAAAGAUUAGAACCUGUUCUUACUUGUGGGAAACGAACAUCCUACGGUCUUGGCGUCUCUCGAGACAUCCGUUAAUGACAUCCCUUCCUUCAAUUACUAUUUGCUAAUUUAUUUAACGAUAAUAAAAAUAAAAUACAUUGUCACGGAUCGAACGACCAUGAUGAGAAACGAGAGAGGUUAGAAUCGAAAAGGUAUAUUCUCAAAAAUCUCGAAACGGUUAAUUAUAUCUAAUUGGUAAAUUGGUUGGUUUGUUAAAGGAAUUACAUUAAUUUUUCUAACACAUCUGCUAUCUAGAAUGUGACCACACGCUUCGUGUGAAAUUAAUCUCCAGAACGUUCUCGUCGAGUGUGAAUUUAAUCUGAUGGAAAUAAUCGUAGAUACAAUAUAUAUAUAUAUAUAUUAAAAUAUAUGGAAACAGAAGAAUUGGAGAAUGAAAUGGUUCGUGUCGAAGCUAAAGUGUCGAUGAACUCGCUCUUUAUGCAAAUUUUUUUACACCGUCGAUCACACAUGCGGCAAAAUGAACGAUACGAUAUGAUAAAAAUUUGCCGUUUCGUUGGAGGGAAACGUGGAGAAAGUUGCUUAAUUGAUAAAAGGGGAAAGUACGGUUUUAAUACCGUAAAGAAAAAAAAAAAAAAAGAUAAAUAAUUGGCUUGUUAGAAUUGGAGGAGAUGGGAAGUUUAGAAAGAAUUGAAAUUUUAAUGAAAAACAAUCUAGAAUCCCGGAUACGAUCAUUUAUAAUAAUCUUUCUCACUUUUUCCUUAUGAAUUUCAUGCUCGGUGAUUUUUCAUAUUUUUCUUGGAAAACGCGUAUACGGAUAUAUUUUUUUAUUAAUUAAAUAAAGGAAUUACGUAUCAAAUGAAUCGUAUUCAAUGUCAAUGGUUUUAGUAUUUUUUUUUUUAAAUUACGAAAUAUUUGGGGAAAAAAUUUCACGAAGAAUUUUUUCAUCUUUUCGAUGAUUAUUUAUUAGUUUGAGAAAGAUCGCGAGAAGGAAUUACGAUUCCCGGAGUUAAUACGAGUAAACACAAUGGAAGAUACUGCUGAAUGUACUUUGCAUUUCCGUGGAAACCGGACAAUUGAUGUUUCUUUGAAAAUUUCGUAGUAUGUCUUUAUACACACGGUUUAAUGACCACACGCACGAAGAAAAUGUUACAACGCUUUUAAGUCGUAUUUUUCAAAUGAAAAAUGUAUUUGGCGCGAGAACAAAGUCCUAAAAUUUUCAACGAAAUAACAUUAAAUCGCGAGAUACGAUUUAAUACGCGUUUAAAUACACACGGCUGAAUAUGCUUCGUCAGAAAUCGAUAUGACCAAACUUCUUUACCGAUGAAGCAAGAUCAACUUUACAAAAUUGAAAUUAUCGAUCGAGAAUAGAAAGUCGUCGAAAGAAGCUAGGGAAAAAUAUAAAGAGGUUUAUAUUAUACCUCUGUAUAAAGAAACAAAUAAUGAAUAAUGGAUAAGGAAAAUAACGAGAGAACCUGUGCAUGAUGGACAGAAACUCGUUUCCACAUUGUAGCAGGUCCGUCGACCAAGUGCACGACCCUCGAAGGACGUUCACCAGCAUCCAACUUCUCCCUCCCCUCGCUUCUUCCCGGAGACAACUGCGAAGAAGGAGAUUCCAAUUCAAGGACACGGCCAUUAAUUUCGUAACUGCUGCUUCGUGAGCUGCAUCAGAUCUUUACGGAUCAUUGAAAUCUCGCGAAGGAGAUUCGGUCGCAACAAGUGGAAUUUGAGCCCGUGCCAACUCAAAUCUAGGGAUUCGUAUGAAGGAUUUUUAGGUUAGGUCGUAUAUAAUAUACGUAUCAUUACGCGAUUUAAAAGUUAUUCGCUCGUGAGAAUAGAUGGAUACAAUGUAUGCUAUCAAGAAAGAUUAACUGAAACAGGGGUCAUCGGUGAUCCAUGAUAAUUAAAGAUAAUUAAAGUUUUUUAUCAAGGAAGAAAAGUUCGUUUCACCGAUCAAACAACGUGGGCGUGGAUAAAAAGAUAAAAGAGAAUGCAUAUAAUCUUUACGUGUCUUUAUAAUGAAUUAUUAUAAAACAUAACCUUUGCACGUCUAGCUUCAAUGAAAUAUUUAAAAAUCAAUAUUUAAAUAUAUUAACGUGUAAUUUAUAUAUAUGUAUAUAUUGUAAAACCAUUUUCAGAUGUACAAUGUAUGUACAAUGCUGGAACAUAAAAAUUUCAUAAGAAAUAAAAUAAAUCGAAAUGAAAUGUA
rnacentral:lncRNA from 1 species